AGUGAACGCUGGCGGUAGGCCUAACACAUGCAAGUCGAACGGCAGCACAGUAAGAGCUUGCUCUUACGGGUGGCGAGUGGCGGACGGGUGAGGAAUACAUCGGACUCUACUUUUUCGUGGGGGAUAACGUAGGGAAACUUACGCUAAUACCGCAUACGACCUACGGGUGAAAGCAGGGGAUCUUCGGACCUUGCGCUAUUGAAUGAGCCGAUGUCGGAUUAGCUAGUUGGCGGGGUAAAGGCCCACCAAGGCGACGAUCCGUAGCUGGUCUGAGAGGAUGAUCAGCCACACUGGAACUGAGACACGGUCCAGACUCCUACGGGAGGCAGCAGUGGGGAAUAUUGGACAAUGGGCGCAAGCCUGAUCCAGCCAUACCGCGUGGGUGAAGAAGGCCUUCGGGUUGUAAAGCACUUUUGUUGGGAAAGAAAAGCAGAAGGUUAAUACCCCGCUGUUCUGACGGUACCCAAAGAAUAAGCACCGGCUAACUUCGUG
rnacentral:rRNA from 1 species